rnacentral:rRNA from 1 species
UUUAUUAGGGUGUUCACCCCUCGUUUUGAGAGAUUGGGGUAAAACCCCCAAAAAGAGCAACCCCCUUCCCUUUAGUCCACCACCUUGGGUGGGAAAUUCUAAGAGGAUUCCGGGUGCAAACCGGAGAAAAGGGGGGAGAUAAUCAAAUGUUCAUGGGCCCUUUGGCCAGGGGGACACACCCGUUACAAAAGGGGGGACACAGGGGACACAAACCGCGAGGGAGAGCCAAAACCCCAAAAACCAUUCUAAUUCGGAAUGGAAUUCGGAAAUUGAGCGGCCAGAAAUUGGUAUUGGCA